rnacentral:rRNA from 1 species
GAUGAACGCUGGCGGCGUGCCUAACACAUGCAAGUCGAGCGAUGAAGUUUCCUUCGGGAAACGGAUUAGCGGCGGACGGGUGAGUAACACGUGGGUAACCUGCCUCAUAGUGGGGGAUAGCCUUUCGAAAGGAAGAUUAAUACCGCAUAACAUCAUUAGAUGGCAUCAUUUAGUGAUCAAAGGAUUUAUUCGCUAUGAGAUGGACCCGCGUCGCAUUAGCUAGUUGGUAAGGUAAUGGCUUACCAAGGCGACGAUGCGUAGCCGACCUGAGAGGGUGAUCGGCCACAUUGGGACUGAGACACGGCCCAGACUCCUACGGGAGGCAGCAGUGGGGAAUAUUGCACAAUGGGGGAAACCCUGAUGCAGCAACGCCGCGUGAGUGAUGACGGUCUUCGGAUUGUAAAGCUCUGUCUUUGGGGACGAUAAUGACGGUACCCAAGGAGGAAGCCACGGCUAACUACGUGCCAGCCGCCGCAGUAA